rnacentral:sRNA from 1 species
AUGUUUUUAUUAUGUCAUUUAUUUGUUGUGAAUGUUUUUUGUGGAAAGUAUUUUAAAGGACGAUGGCUUUCAAUCCAGUGCCUACUUUUAUCAACGUGAAAUCUGUGUUAAUCAAUUGUUAUGUUUAAUUUUCUACAAUAAUUUAUUUCUCUGUGACUACUAGUAUACAAUGUACUGUUAUCAGAGGUGACUAGAUCUAGUAGGAUCUAACAGCUGGUCGCAGACGUGGCAGAUCUAUAUAGUUCUGAUGUGUUAGUGUUUAAAGCGCUAGUGUUAUAUACUAAUUUAUAAAUUGCUUUAAAAAAGGAUAUAGAUAAAUAUUUCGUUUCAAGUGAUUUCAUUAAUUCAGUAUCAGAAAUCAAGAUGGCGGCUGUUGCAGACGACAAGAACGUCAAUCUUUUCUGAGGCAGAUCUGGAAACGGGAAAACGAGUUGUAUCCAGACAAUCAAAGACAUUGUCAACUCUGACAUGAUACUAGUUGAAUGUCCAGAUGUGGGGGAUACUGGAGCAGACUUACAGAAAGAUAUGGACACUGUAAAGAAAAAUACCGGGAUGUUAGUUCAAGAACUUUCGUCUAAAUAUGGCGGCAUAGUCGCUCUGGUCUUCGUUCUGAAGUAUGGCGUCAGAUUUACGAAACAAGAGAAAGACGCUGUCUCUGUUGUCAAGUCUGUGUUUGGUGACAGUGUGUUCAGGGACAGGGGAAUCAUAGCCUUCAGUUGUGGAGACCUCUUUGACCUCGACUGUGGAGACACUCUAGACAACACUGAACGUUUCAUGGACUGGUGCAGGGAACAAACUGGAGAUAUUGAAAAACUCUUUCAAGAAGUGAACUACAGAUGUGUUCUAUUUGAUAACAAAA